GAUGAACGCUGGCGGCGUGCCUAAUACGUGCAAGUCGAACGAGGUGCUUUUGUAGCAAUACGAGAGUAUACUAGUGGCGAACGGGUGAGUAACGCGUUGGUUACCUGCCCGAAAAUGUGGGAUAACAGUGCGAAAGGAAUGCUAAUACCGCCUGUGGUACUCGGAGUUAGAACAUGAUGACUCAAGCCGCAAGGCGCUUUGGGAGGGGCCUGCGUCCCAUCAGCGAGUUGGUGAGGUAACGGCCCACCAAGGCUACGACGGGGAGGGGGACUGGGAGGGUGGCCCCCCACAAUGGAACUGAAACACGGUCCAUACACCUACGGGUGGCAGCAGUAGGGAAUAUUGCACAAUGGGCGAAAGCCUUAUGCAGCAACGCCGCGUGAGCGAAGAAGGCCUUCGGGUCGUAAAGCUCUUUUCUGCGAGAUGAGAAAGGACAGUAUCUCAGGAAUAAGUCUCGGCUAACUACGUGCCAGCCGCCGCAGUAACAC
rnacentral:rRNA from 1 species